rnacentral:rRNA from 1 species
UGGGGAAUAUUGGACAAUGGGCGAAAGCCUGAUCCAGCCAUGCCGCGUGUGUGAAGAAGGUCUUCGGAUUGUAAAGCACUUUAAGUUGGGAGGAAGGGCAGUAAGCGAAUACCUUGCUGUUUUGACGUUACCGACAGAAUAAGCACCGGCUAACUCUGUGCCAGCAGCCGCGGUAAUACAGAGGGUGCAAGCGUUAAUCGGAAUUACUGGGCGUAAAGCGCGCGUAGGUGGUUCGUUAAGUUGAAUGUGAAAGCCCCGGGCUCAACCUGGGAACUGCAUCCAAAACUGGGGGGCUUGAGUAGGGCAGAGGGUGGUGGAAUUUCCUGGGUAGCGGGGAAAUGCGUAGAUAUAGGGAGGAACACCAGGGGGGAAGGCGACCACCUGGGCUCAUACUGACACUGGGGUGCGAAAGCGUGGGGAGGAAACAGG